UACGAGAGGUCUCAAGCGUUGUUCGGAUUAUUGGGCGUAAAGGGCGCGUAGGCGGCGGGGUAAGUCGGGUGUGAAAUCUCAGGGCUCAACCCUGAAACUGCACUUGAUACUGCUCUGCUUGAGGACUGGAGAGGAGACUGGAAUUCAACGGUGUAGCAGUGAAAUGCGUAGAUAUCGUGAGGAAGACCAGUGGCGAAGGCGGCAUCCUGGACCGACAU
rnacentral:rRNA from 1 species